GACGAACGCUGGCGGCGUGCUUAACACAUGCAAGUCGAACGGAAAGGCCCUGCUUUUGUGGGGUGCUCGAGUGGCGAACGGGUGAGUAACACGUGAGUAACCUGCACUUGACUUUGGGAUAACUUCAGGAAACUGGGGCUAAUACCGGAUAGGAGCUCCUGCUGCUUGGUGGGGGUUGGAAAGUUUCGGCGGUUGGGGAUGGACUCGCGGCUUAUCAGCUUGUUGGUGGGGUAGUGGCUUACAAAGGCUUUGACGGGUAGCCGGCCUGAGAGGGUGACCGGCCACAUUGGGACUGAGAUACGGCCCAGACUCCUACGGGAGGCAGCAGUGGGGAAUAUUGCACAAUGGGCGGAAGCCUGAUGCAGCAACGCCGCGUGCGGGAUGACGUCCUUCGGGUUGUAAACCGCUUUCGCCUGUGACGAAGCGUGAGUGACGGUAAUGGGUAAAGAAGCACCGGCUAACUACGUG
rnacentral:rRNA from 1 species